AUUGAACGCUGGCGGCAUGCCUUACACAUGCAAGUCGAACGGCAGCACGGGGCAACCUGGUGGCGAGUGGCGAACGGGUGAGUAAUGCAUCGGAACGUACCUUUCAGUGGGGGAUAACGUAGCGAAAGUUACGCUAAUACCGCAUAUUCUGUGAGCAGGAAAGCAGGGGAUCGCAAGACCUUGCGCUGGUUGAGCGGCCGAUGUCAGAUUAGCUAGUUGGUGAGGUAAAGGCUCACCAAGGCGACGAUCUGUAGCGGGUCUGAGAGGAUGAUCCGCCAAACUGGAACUGAGACACGGCCCAGACUCCUACGGGAGGCAGCAGUGGGGAAUUUUGGACAAUGGGGGCAACCCUGAUCCAGCCAUGCCGCGUGAGUGAAGAAGGCCUUCGGGUUGUAAAGCUCUUUCGGCCGGGAAGAAAUCGCACGGGCUAAUACCCUGUGUGGAUGACGGUACCGGAAUAAGAAGCACCGGCUAACUACGUGCCAGCAGCCGCCGUAACAC
rnacentral:rRNA from 1 species